rnacentral:rRNA from 1 species
UACGUAGGGACCAAGCGUUGUUCGGAUUUACUGGGCGUAAAGGGCGCGUAGGCGGCGUGGUAAGUCACUUGUGAAAUCUCUGAGCUUAACUCAGAACUGCCAAGUGAUACUGCUGUGCUAGAGUGCAGAAGGGGCAAUCGGAAUUCUUGGUGUAGCGGUGAAAUGCGUAGAUAUCAAGAGGAACACCUGAGGUGAAGACGGGUUGCUGGGCUGACACUGACGCUGAGGCGCGAAAGCUAGGGUAGCAAACGGG